rnacentral:rRNA from 1 species
UACGUAGGGUGCAAGCGUUAAUCGGAAUUACUGGGCGUAAAGCGUGCGCAGGCGGUUAUGUAAGACAGGUGUGAAAUCCCCGGGCUUAACCUGGGAAUUGCAUUUGUGACUGCAUGGCUAGAGUGUGUCAGAGGGGGGGUAGAAUUCCACGUGUAGCAGUGAAAUGCGUAGAUAUGUGGAGGAAUACCGAUGGCGAAGGCAGCCCCCCUGGGCCAAUACUGACGCUCAUGCACGAAAAGCGUGGGGGAGCAAACAGG